rnacentral:hammerhead_ribozyme from 1 species
GCCCAUCUGACGAGUCCCACAUAGGACGAAACGCUCAUUCUGGAC